rfam:Oryza sativa Japonica Group DNA, chromosome 3, cultivar: Nipponbare, complete sequence.
AAUAGAUAACGCCGUUGACUUUUUCUUAUGUUUGACCAUUCGUCUUAUUCAAAAAAUUUACAUAAUUAUAAUUUUUUUUAUAAGUUGUUUUAUCACUCAUAGUACUUUAAGUGUGAUUUAUAUCUUAUACAUUUGCAUAAAAUUUUUGAAUAAGACGAAUGGUUAAACAUGUGAGAAAAAGUCAACGGCGUCAUCUAUU